rnacentral:tRNA from 1 species
GCCUAAGUGGCUCAGUCGGUUGAGCAUCUGCCUUCGGCUCAGAGGUCAUGACCCCAGGGUCCUGGGAUCAAGUCCCACAUUGGGCU